rnacentral:rRNA from 1 species
UUCCGGUUGAUCCUGCCGGAGGUCACUGCUAUCAGUGUUCGACUAAGCCAUGCAAGUCAAAUGUUCUUCGUGAACAUGGCGGACUGCUCAGUAACACGUGGAUAACCCGCCCUUAGGAUUGGCAUAACACCGGGAAACUGGUGAUAAUACCGAAUAGACCAUUUAUGCUGGAAUGCUUUUUGGUUCAAAGACUUCGGCUGCCUAAGGAUGGAUCUGCGGCCUAUCAGGUAGUAGUGGGUGUAAUGUACCUACUAGCCUACGACGGGUACGGGUUGUGAGAGCAAGAGCCCGGAGAUGGAUUCUGAGACAUGAAUCCAGGCCCUACGGGGCGCAGCAGGCGCGAAAACUUUACAAUGCGGGAAACCGCGAUAAGGGGACACUGAGUGCCAGCAUAUUAUGUUGGCUGUCCACAUGUAUAAAAACCAUGUGUUAGCAAGGGCCGGGCAAGACCGGUGCCAGCCGCCGCGGUAACACCGGCGGCCCGAGUGGUGAUCACUUUUAUUGGGUCUAAAGGGUCCGUAGCCGGUUUGAUCAGUCUUCUGGGAAAUCUGACAGCUCAACUGUUAGGCUUUCAGGGGAUACUGUUAGACUUGGGACCGGGAGAGGUAAGAGGUACUACAGGGGUAGGAGUGAAAUCUUGUAAUCCCUGUGGGACCACCAGUGGCGAAGGCGUCUUACCAGAACGGGUCCGACGGUGAGGGACGAAGCUGGGGGCACGAGCCGGAUUAGAUACCCGGGUAGUCCCAGCCGUAAACGAUGUUCGCUAGGUGUCAGGCACGGUGCGACCGUUUCUGGUGCCGUAGGGAAGCCGUGAAGCGAACCACCUGGGAAGUACGGCCGCAAGGCUGAAACUUAAAGGAAUUGGCGGGGG